rnacentral:rRNA from 1 species
AUUGAACGCUGGCGGCAUGCCUUACACAUGCAAGUCGAACGGCAGCACGGGUGCUUGCACCUGGUGGCGAGUGGCGAACGGGUGAGUAAUACAUCGGAACGUACCUUAUCGUGGGGGAUAACGCAGCGAAAGCUGUGCUAAUACCGCAUACGCCCUGAGGGGGAAAGCGGGGGAUCGAAAGACCUCGCGCGAUUAGAGCGGCCGAUGCCUGAUUAGCUUGUUGGUGGGGUAAAAGCCCACCAAGGCGACGAUCAGUAGCUGGUCUGGGAGGACGAUCAGCCACGCUGGGACUGAGACACGGCCCAGACUCCUACGGGGGGAAGCAGUGGGGAAUUUUGGACAAUGGGGGCAACCCUGAUCCAGCAAUGCCGCGUGAGUGAAGAAGGCCUUCGGGUUGUAAAGCUCUUUUGUCAGGGAAGAAACACCGGCUCUAACACAGUCCGGGAAUGACGGUACCUGAAGAAUAAGCACCGGCUAACUACGUGCCAGCAGCCGCCGUAA